AAAUUGAAGAGUUUGAUCAUGGCUCAGAUUGAACGCUGGCGGCAGGCCUAACACAUGCAAGUCGAACGGUAACAGGAAACAGCUUGCUGUUUCGCUGACGAGUGGCGGACGGGUGAGUAAUGUCUGGGAAGCUGCCUGAUGGAGGGGGAUAACUACUGGAAACGGUAGCUAAUACCGCAUAAUGUCGCAAGACCAAAGAGGGGGACCUUCGGGCCUCUUGCCAUCGGAUGUGCCCAGAUGGGAUUAGCUAGUAGGUGGGGUAACGGCUCACCUAGGCGACGAUCCCUAGCUGGUCUGAGAGGAUGACCAGCCACACUGGAACUGAGACACGGUCCAGACUCCUACGGGAGGCAGCAGUGGGGAAUAUUGCACAAUGGGCGCAAGCCUGAUGCAGCCAUGCCGCGUGUAUGAAGAAGGCCUUCGGGUUGUAAAGUACUUUCAGCGGGGAGGAAGGGAGUAAAGUUAAUACCUUUGCUCAUUGACGUUACCCGCAGAAGAAGCACCGGCUAACUCCGUGCCAGCAGCCGCGGUAAUACGGAGGGUGCAAGCGUUAAUCGGAAUUACUGGGCGUAAAGCGCACGCAGGCGGUUUGUUAAGUCAGAUGUGAAAUCCCCGGGCUCAACCUGGGAACUGCAUCUGAUACUGGCAAGCUUGAGUCUCGUAGAGGGGGGUAGAAUUCCAGGUGUAGCGGUGAAAUGCGUAGAGAUCUGGAGGAAUACCGGUGGCGAAGGCGGCCCCCUGGACGAAGACUGACGCUCAGGUGCGAAAGCGUGGGGAGCAAACAGGAUUAGAUACCCUGGUAGUCCACGCCGUAAACGAUGUCGACUUGGAGGUUGUGCCCUUGAGGCGUGGCUUCCGGAGCUAACGCGUUAAGUCGACCGCCUGGGGAGUACGGCCGCAAGGUUAAAACUCAAAUGAAUUGACGGGGGCCCGCACAAGCGGUGGAGCAUGUGGUUUAAUUCGAUGCAACGCGAAGAACCUUACCUGGUCUUGACAUCCACAGAACUUUCCAGAGAUGGAUUGGUGCCUUCGGGAACUGUGAGACAGGUGCUGCAUGGCUGUCGUCAGCUCGUGUUGUGAAAUGUUGGGUUAAGUCCCGCAACGAGCGCAACCCUUAUCCUUUGUUGCCAGCGGUCCGGCCGGGAACUCAAAGGAGACUGCCAGUGAUAAACUGGAGGAAGGUGGGGAUGACGUCAAGUCAUCAUGGCCCUUACGACCAGGGCUACACACGUGCUACAAUGGCGCAUACAAAGAGAAGCGACCUCGCGAGAGCAAGCGGACCUCAUAAAGUGCGUCGUAGUCCGGAUUGGAGUCUGCAACUCGACUCCAUGAAGUCGGAAUCGCUAGUAAUCGUGGAUCAGAAUGCCACGGUGAAUACGUUCCCGGGCCUUGUACACACCGCCCGUCACACCAUGGGAGUGGGUUGCAAAAGAAGUAGGUAGCUUAACCUUCGGGAGGGCGCUUACCACUUUGUGAUUCAUGACUGGGGUGAAGUCGUAACAAGGUAACCGUAGGGGAACCUGCGGUUGGAUCACCUCCUU
rnacentral:rRNA from 1 species